AUAUGCCUGGCUCCCUGUAUGCCAUUUGCAGAGCUCACCGUAAUAUCGAUGGGUCUUUGUGAAUGGCGUAUGAGGAGCCAAGCAUAU
rfam:Nicotiana sylvestris Nsyl_contig120899, whole genome shotgun sequence.